UCUCAUUGUUAAUGUUGAUAGUAUAUUGUCUUCUGCAGGUGUGUGUGUGUGUGUGUGUGUGUGUGUGUGUGUGUGUGUGUGUGUUCGUGUGUGUGUGUGUAUGAACAGGCCCAGAGCUGUAGUGUUAGUCCAGUGAAGCUGUACUCUGUCUGUUUCAGAUGAAGUUGUGUUGAACACGUUCAAGUUGCCUGCAUGAGCUCGCUGUCAUUUUCAUUUCAGCUGUGGAUUCCCUUCACUCCCAUGUUGUCUCCUUCCUUCUUUUUUUUUUUUUAAACCCCCAACUUGCCUCUUACACUCCCAUAGAUGGAAAUAUAUCCCAACAUGUUGCCAGUAAUGCAGAAUGUACGGUGAGGUCUUUGAAUUCUACAAUAUUUCAAGCAUUCGUUGCCAUAAAUAACCCUGUUGUACAUGAAUUGUUUUUUGUCACAGUUAUCGCAUCUUAUGUCAAUAAAUUGCCAUAACUCA